UAGGGAAUCUUCCGCAAUGGGCGAAAGCCUGACGGAGCAAUGCCGCGUGAGUGAUGAAGGUUUUCGGAUCGUAAAGCUCUGUUGCCAGGGAAGAACGUCCGGUAGAGUAACUGCUAUCGGAGUGACGGUACCUGAGAAGAAAGCCCCGGCUAACUACGUGCCAGCAGCCGCGGUAAUACGUAGGGGGCAAGCGUUGUCCGGAAUUAUUGGGCGUAAAGCGCGCGCAGGCGGCUAUUUAAGUCUGGUGUUUAAACCUUGGGCUCAACCUGAGGUCGCACUGGAAACUGGGUGGCUUGAGUACAGAAGAGGAAAGUGGAAUUCCACGUGUAGCGGUGAAAUGCGUAGAUAUGUGGAGGAACACCAGUGGCGAAGGCGACUUUCUGGGCUGUAACUGACGCUGAGGCGCGAAAGCGUGGGGAGCAAACAGGAUUAGAUACCCUGGUAGUCCACGCCGUAAACGAUGAGUGCUAGGUGUUAGGGGUUUCGAUACCCUUGGUGCCGAAGUUAACACAGUAAGCACUCCGCCUGGGGAGUACGGUCGCAAGACUG
rnacentral:rRNA from 1 species